GAGUAUUUGUUUCUCCAUGGGGUGGGAACUCUUUGUACCAUACUGGUACUUUAAUGGAUGGUCUAAUUGAUAUCAACCCAAUUAAUUUACCAGGUCUACCACGUGUUCUAAAUUGGUUAGACAUUAUACCCAUUUGAAUUGCCUUCACUCCUGAGUCUGAGUGUCAGGUUCAAGCUGCUGACCGAUGAGGUUCCUUAUGCUUGUGAACCAGUUAGAUUCUAUACACAUAUGAAUCUUCCCCAUAUUCGAAUAUCUGAAUGUCAGACUCAAGCUGAUGAUAUAUGAGGUAUGGUCCUCGCUGUAUCAAUCAAGUCCCAUUGAAAUAUUGAAACGUUGUUCAUACAUCUUUGAAUUACCUUUUAUGUGCUGACAAUAUGU